rnacentral:rRNA from 1 species
AGAACUUAGCAGAGAUGCUUUGGUGCCUUCGGGAACUCUGAGACAGGUGCUGCAUGGCUGUCGUCAGCUCGUGUUGUGAAAUGUUGGGUUAAGUCCCGCAACGAGCGCAACCCUUAUCCUUUGUUGCCAGCGGUUAGGCCGGGAACUCAAAGGAGACUGCCAGUGAUAAACUGGAGGAAGGUGGGAUGACCGUCAAGUCAUCAUGGCCCUUACGAGUAGGGCUACACACGUGCUACAAUGGCGCAUACAAAGAGAAGCGACCUCGCGAGAGCAAGCGGACCUCAUAAAGUGCGUCGUAGUCCGGAUUGGAGUCUGCAACUCGACUCCAUGAAGUCGGAAUCGCUAGUAAUCGUGGAUCAGAAUGCCACGGUGAAUACGUUCCCGGGCCUUGUACACACCGCCCGUCACACCAUGGGAGUGGGUUGCAAAAGAAGUAGGUAGCUUAACCUUCGGGAGGGCGCUUACCACUUUGUGAUUCAUGACUGGGGUGAAGUCGUAACAAGGUAGGCGUAGUGCU